rnacentral:rRNA from 1 species
AUCUGGCCUCAAAUCAAGUAGGACUACCCGC